rnacentral:rRNA from 1 species
AGCGAACGCUGGCGGCAGGCUUAACACAUGCAAGUCGAGCGGACCUUUCUGGUUCAGCGGCGGACGGGUGAGUAACGCGUGGGAACGUGCCUUCCGGUUCGGACUAACCCUGGGAAACUAGUGCUAAUACCGGAUACGCCCUUAUGGGGGAAGGUUUACUGCCGGAGGAUCGGCCCGCGUCUGAUUAGCUGGUUGGUGGGGUAACGGCCAACCAAGGCGCGGAUCAUUGGCUGGUUUGAGAGGAUGAUCAGCUACAAUGGGAAUGAGACACGGCCCAGAACCCGACGGGGGGGUGCAGUGUAGAAUAUUAGGGAAUGGACGCAAACCUGGUCCAGCCAUGUCGCGUGAGUGAUGAAGGCCUUAGGGUUGUAAAGCCCUCUUAUCCGGGACGAUAAUGACGGUACCGGAAGAAGAAGCCCCGGCUAACUACGUG